ensembl:snoRNA SNORA70 Small nucleolar RNA SNORA70
CUGCAGCUAAUUAAGCCAACCAUGCUCUUUUCUUAAUGGGAGCCUGGUGUGCAAUGGCUGCAAACAGCAGCCUCCUUGGUAGUAUAUGCAACCUGUCACUUGUACAAGUUGUUCUAAGGGACCUUGGAGACUCUC